AAAGGUCGAUGAGCACACAGCUGUGUUAGUCAUGUAGCUGCUAUGCUACUGAACAAAAUGAAAAUGCCUACGUAGCUGAAAGAGAUAGAAAGUGACUCAGCUCUUGCUCAAACACCCAGUGCCUCUGAGAUUCGUCAGUGAACUGCCUGGAAGGUCCUGCAGAGUGUUUCAAUAUUUGGACCUGCCUGCAGCGGGUGAGGAGAGAGGACAGAGCUGGAUGUAUCCGUGCUGUGGGUGGGGAAGAAGAGCGACUGUCCCAGGCUGCAGGCAAAACAGCCACUUUCUCUGGGAGGAAAACAUGACAUAGGAGAAAUAAAUCCUGGACGCUCUUCCC